AUGUGCCUUGAUGUGGGAGUGAAAUUUUCGAUUUCACUCAAGAGGAUGGAUGGGUCCAUGGAUGGGCUGUGGAACCAUGGACAAAGUGUAGACAGACUGCCUGGUGCCCAGGAGUGGAGGAAGGAGUCACAGAGGUUCCUGUACCAUACACAGCAAAGAGGAAAGAUAGACGGAGCCUGUGUCCCUAAAGACACUGUGAAACUGAUGAGUCAAUCAGCCCUGAAGGCUGACUUAUCUCUGGAGAUGCUUCCGGUUAUGUGAGUUAAUAAUUUUCUUUGUUUGAUUUGACGUGGUUGUUAAUUGCAGCUGAAAAUCUAAUAGAGCCACAAGAGGAGAGAGUUUCAAGAAGCCAGGAAUGAUGGGGUCUGUAGAUGAUGGGCCAAGGAGGUCAUGCUAGGAUUUGGCUAAGGGAGGCCAUGGGUGGCCUUGUCAAGUCGUGUUCAGUGGGGUGGUGAUGCAAAUCCCCCUUUGCUUAUUUGUCUUUGUUCUUUCCUUGGUCCCCAUUAUCUUCCUUCUCCACUGGGCCACAAGAUAUUAGGGUUCUUCUCAGUAUAGUCUGGGCCUUUUUCUCACCUCUGUGUAUUCUUUUUCUUGAUGUCAUCCUUCCCUGUAGGUCUAAAUGGCAUUUAAUGCUGAGGUGGCCCAAAAUAUGUAUUUCCGGCUCAGAUAUCUGUGUUCAAGACUCACACACCCAACUGCUCACCUGACACCUCCAGGUGAAUCUUUCCCAGAUGGGCCAGACUUUGCCUGCCCAAAGCAGAAGAUUUGACCUGCCUUACCCCCUUCCCCCAGCCGUCUCUGUCUUCAUUCAGCAUUGCCCUUCACCCAGCUGCUCAAGCCAGAAACUAAAGUGUCAGCCUCUAAAAAAUAUUAGUUUUUAUUUUAUACUGGAGUAUAGUUGGUUUACUAUGUUGUUUUAGUUUCAAGUGUACAGCAAAGUUAUUAAUUAUA
rnacentral:lncRNA from 1 species